GGAGAUGUAUCGAAGUGGUCAUAACGGGACUGAUUCGAAAUCAGUUGACGGGGUUACCCGUCCGUGGGUUCGAAUCCCACCGUCUCCG
rnacentral:tRNA from 1 species